rnacentral:rRNA from 1 species
GACGAACGCUGGCGGCGUGCUUAACACAUGCAAGUCGAGCGGUAAGGCCUUUCGGGGUACACGAGCGGCGAACGGGUGAGUAACACGUGGGUGAUCUGCCCUGCACUUCGGGAUAAGCCUGGGAAACUGGGUCUAAUACCGGAUAUGACCUCCUAUCGCAUGGUGGGUGGUGGAAAGAUUUAUCGGUGCAGGAUGGGCCCGCGGCCUAUCAGCUUGUUGGUGGGGUAAUGGCCUACCAAGGCGACGACGGGUAGCCGACCUGAGAGGGUGACCGGCCACACUGGGACUGAGACACGGCCCAGACUCCUACGGGAGGCAGCAGUGGGGAAUAUUGCACAAUGGGCGAAAGCCUGAUGCAGCGACGCCGCGUGAGGGAUGACGGCCUUCGGGUUGUAAACCUCUUUCAGCAGGGACGAAGCGCAAGUGACGGUACCUGCAGAAGAAGCACCGGCUAACUAUGUG